rnacentral:rRNA from 1 species
CNUCCGUAGGUGAACCUGCGGAGGGAUCAUUACCGAGUUUACAACUCCCAAACCCCUGUGAACAUACCUAUCGUUGCUUCGGCGGGAUCGCCCCGGCGCCUUCGGCCCGGACCCAGGCGCCCGCCGGAGGACCCAAACUCUUGAAUUUAUGAUGUAUCUUCUGAGUGACACAAGCAAAUAAAUCAAAACUUUCAACAACGGAUCUCUUGGUUCUGGCAUCGAUGAAGAACGCAGCGAAAUGCGAUAAGUAAUGUGAAUUGCAGAAUUCAGUGAAUCAUCGAAUCUUUGAACGCACAUUGCGCCCGCCAGUAUUCUGGCGGGCAUGCCUGUUCGAGCGUCAUUUCGACCCUCAAGCCCCCGGGCUUGGUGCUGGGGAACGGCCGUCACUGGCCGGCCCCGAAAUCGAGUGGCGGUCUCGCUGUAGCCUCCUCUGCGUAGUAGCAACACCUCGCACUGGAACGCGGCGCGGCCACGCCGUUAAAUCCCGACUUCUGAAGGUUGACCUCGGAUCAGGUAGGAAUACCCGCUGAACUUAAGCAUAUCAAUAAGCGGAGGAA